AGUGGCGGACGGGUGAGUAACGCGUGAGAAUCUGCCUUGGGGUCGGGGACAACCACUGGAAACGGUGGCUAAUACCGGAUACGCCUUCGGGUAAAAGAUUUAUUGCCCUAAGAGGAGCUCGCGUCUGAUUAGCUAGUUGGUGAGGUAAGAGCUCACCAAGGCAGCGAUCAGUAGCUGGUCUGAGAGGACGAUCAGCCACACUGGGACUGAGACACGGCCCAGACUCCUAUGGGAGGCAGCAGUGGGGAAUUUUCCGCAAUGGGCGAAAGCCUGACGGAGCAAGACCGCGUGAGGGAGGAAGGCUCUUGGGUUGUAAACCUCUUUUCUCAGGGAAGAAGCUCUGACGGUACCUGAGGAAUCAGCCUCGGCUAACUCCGUGCCAGCAGCCGCGGUAAUACGGAGGAGGCAAGCGUUAUCCGGAAUUAUUGGGCGUAAAGCGUCCGCAGGUGGCGAUUCAAGUCUGCUGUCAAAGCACGGGGCUUAACUCCGUAAAGGCAGUGGAAACUGAAUAGCUAGAGUGCCGUAGGGGUAGAGGGAAUUCCCGGUGUAGCGGUGAAAUGCGUAGAGAUCGGGAAGAACAUCGGUGGCGAAAGCGCUCUACUGGACGGCAACUGACACUCAGGGACGAAAGCUAGGGGAGCGAAUGGGAUUAGAUACCCC
rnacentral:rRNA from 1 species